CAUCAGCAGCACCAUGCUCCAGUGCUCUGGGAGAGUUUAUAGUCCUGAGAGUUGAACACUGGAUGACUGACAGCUGUCCUUCAUGACAACAGAAGACACAGAAAUCCUCCUCAUCAAAAACAUGACUUUGAUCUCCGUCCUCAUCUGGACUCUCCUCUGCUGCUGCUUCACAGAGUCCAGAGGCCAGGUCACAGUGACUCAGUCUGGAGCAGUGAGCUCUGCUCUGGGACGCUCCGUCUCCAUCACAUGUAGGACCAGUCAGAAUGUCUAUACUUGGAGCAGCUACCAUGAAUUGGCCUGGUACCAACAGAGAGAUGGAGAAACUCCUAAACUGCUUAUCAAUAGGGCAACAUAUCGAGCAUCAGGGAUUCCAGGUCGUUUUACAGGCAGUGGAUCAAACUCUGACUUCACUCUGACCAUCAGUGGAGUCCAGACUGAAGAUGCAGCAGUUUACUACUGUCAGAGUGGUCAUAGCAUCAACAGUCAGGCUGUGUUCACACAGUGAAAAAGCGUCGUACAAAAACCUCCCUCAGUCAGACUGAACAGAAACUGAACUGACUGCUGCAGCUGGAAGCUACUGCCGAGACUGAUACACUUCACUGAGGACACACACACUCACACUCUCACACACACACACACACACACACGCACACACAUUUCAUGAUUUAGAUUUAAACAGAAUAUUAGCUCAAUGUAUGUGCAAAAUCAAUACAUAUACAGUACACAGAAACAAACAAUAGUAAAUAAUAAUUAUAAACAAAAAGUAAUACAUUUUCAAGUGUGGCACAAGAUUGCCACACCAUAUCUCUCUGUGCCUUAUUCCAUUUAGUGAAAAGAAUUUGAUGGGAUUUAUCAGGCAUUCAGGCUGUACUGACAGAGCAAUCAAAUGUAACAUGUAUGACACAAUCCCAUCAACUGUUCACAAAACUGUGGUGGGUAAUGCAUCACUGU